UUAAGCCAUGCAAGUCGAACGAGUUUAGGCUCGUGGCGUACGGCUCAGUAACACGUGGAUAACCUACCCUUAGGACCGGGAUAACCUUGGGAAACUGAGGAUAAUACUGGAUAGGCAAUUUUUCCUGUAAUGGUUUUUUGUUUAAAUGUUUUUUCGCCUAAGGAUGGGUCUGCGGCCGAUUAGGUAGUUGGUUAGGUAAUGGCUUACCAAGCCGUUGAUCGGUACGGGUUGUGAGAGCAAGAGCCCGGAGAUGGAACCUGAGACAAGGUUCCAGGCCCUACGGGGUGCAGCAGGCGCGAAACCUCCGCAAUGUGAGAAAUCGCGACGGGGGGAUCCCAAGUGCCAUUCUUAACGGGAUGGCUUUUCAUUAGUGUAAAAAGCUUUUGGAAUAAGAGCUGGGCAAGACCGGUGCCAGCCGCCGCGGUAACACCGGCAGCUCUAGUGGUAGCAAUUUUUAUUGGGCCUAAAGCGUCCGUAGCCGGUUUAAUAAGUCUCUGGUGAAAUCCUGUAGCUUAACUGUGGGAAUUGCUGGAGAUACUAUUAGACUUGAGACCGGGAGAGGUUAGAGGUACUCCCAGGGUAGAGGUGAAAUUCUGUAAUCCUGGGAGGACCGCCUGUUGCGAAGGCGUCUAACUGGAACGGUUCUGACGGUGAGGGACGAAAGUUAGGGGCGCGAACCGGAUUAGAUACCCGGGUAGUCCUAACUGUAAACGAUGCGGACUUGGUGUUGGGGUGGCUUUGAGCUGCUCCAGUGCCGAAGGGAAGCUGUUAAGUCCGCCGCCUGGGAAGUACGGUCGCAAGACUGAAACUUAAAGGAAUUGGCGGGGGAGCACCACAACGCGUGGAGCCUGCGGUUUAAUUGGAUUCAACGCCGGACAUCUCACCAGAGGCGACAGCUGUAUGAUAGCCAGGUUGAUGACUUUGCUUGACUAGCUGAGAGGAGGUGCAUGGCCAUCUU
rnacentral:rRNA from 1 species